rnacentral:rRNA from 1 species
GAACGCUGGCGGCAGGCCUAACACAUGCAAGUCGAACGGUAACAGGAAGCAGCUUGCUGCUUCGCUGACGAGUGGCGGACGGGUGAGUAAUGUCUGGGAAGCUGCCUGAUGGAGGGGGAUAACUACUGGAAACGGUAGCUAAUACCGCAUAAUGUCGCAAGACCAAAGAGGGGGGACCCUUCGGGCCUCUUGCCAUCGGAUGUGCCCAGAUGGGAUUAGCUUGUUGGUGGGGUAACGGCUCACCAAGGCGACGAUCCCUAGCUGGUCUGAGAGGAUGACCAGCCACACUGGAACUGAGACACGGUCCAGACUCCUACGGGAGGCAGCAGUGGGGAAUAUUGCACAAUGGGCGCAAGCCUGAUGCAGCCAUGCCGCGUGUAUGAAGAAGGCCUUCGGGUUGUAAAGUACUUUCAGCGGGGAGGAAGGGAGUAAAGUUAAUACCUUUGCUCAUUGACGUUACCCGCAGAAGAAGCACCGGCUAACUCCGUG